rnacentral:rRNA from 1 species
UACGUAGGGUGCAAGCGUUGUCCGGAAUUAUUGGGCGUAAAGAGCUUGUAGGCGGUUUGUCGCGUCUGCUGUGAAAUUUCGGGGCUCAACCCCGAACGUCUGCAGUGGUACGGGCAGACUAGAGUGCGGUAGGGGAGACUGGAAUUCCUGGUGUAGCGGUGGAAUGCGCAGAUAUCAGGAGGAACACCGGUGGCGAAGGCGGAUCUCUGGGCCGUAACUGACGCUGAGGAGCGAAAGCAUGGGGAGCGAACAGG